UCCAGGACCCAAGGUGGCGUCCCAGCCAGU
rnacentral:sRNA from 1 species